UGGGCGCCGGGGGGCGGAGCGCGCAGGGCCCCGGCGACGCCGCUGCUGCCGGGCGCCGCGGCGACGGUCACAAUAGGAGGCGGGGACGGCGCCGCCGGGCGCCUACAGCUCCCGGCCCGCGGCGCGGGGCGGCUCCCGGGCGGAACGCGGCCACGCCACCCGGCCUGCUUUCCGGCAGCAGCCUGCUCCGGCCCUAGCCGAGACCGUUAGGCGUCCGCACACCGAGCGGAAAGGCGAUGCAUAAUCUCACAACAUUAACUAUCGCGACCGGCGUUGUGAGACACCCCGCAGGCGUAACGCUGCGGGUCCCCCGCCUGCGGUCAGCCCCGGGGGUCCCGGCCGCUCCCGCCGCCGCCCCGCCGUUCCGCAGCCGCCGUGACAGGCUGGCUCCGCACACGGAGGGGACUCACGUAACCCAGCACACGUGAUGGGUACAUCGUUCGGGGUAAAAAAAAUCUGAACUAAAUUUUUCUACCAACAUUACAAAUAUGAAUACCCGGUUGGCCCACCCACCGUUAUCAAUUGUUUGUUGAUUAAAGCAUUUAUUUAUAUAUUUA